AGCAGCCGCGGUAAUUCCAGCUCCAAUAGCGUAUAUUAAAGUUGUUGCAGUUAAAAAGCUCGUAGUUGAAUUUCGGGAUCAAUAUAUUGGUCGUGCCUUCGGUAUGCACUGGUAUUAUUGAUUUCUACCUUCUGACGGACCAUGAUGUCAUUAAUUUGGUGUCAUGGGGAAUCAGGACUGUUACUUUGAAAAAAUUAGAGUGUUUAAAGCAGGCACACGCUUGAAUACAUUAGCAUGGAAUAAUGAAAUAGGACGUUUGAUCUUAUUUUGUUGGUUUCUAGGAUCGACGUAAUGAUUAAUAGGGAUAGUUGGGGGCAUUAGUAUUCAAUUGUCAGAGGUGAAAUUCUUGGAUUUAUUGAAGACUAACUACUGCGAAAGCAUUUGCCAAGGAUGUUUUCAUUAAUCAAGAACGAAAGUUAGGGGAUCGAAGACGAUCAGAUACCGUCGUAGUCUUAACCAUAAACUAUGCCGACUAGGGAUCGGAUGAUGUUAAUUUUUUAAUGACUCA
rnacentral:rRNA from 1 species